rnacentral:rRNA from 1 species
UACGAAGGGGGCUAGCGUUGUUCGGAAUUACUGGGCGUAAAGGGCGCGUAGGCGGUUGCUCAAGUCAGGCGUGAAAGCCCCGGGCUCAACCUGGGAAUAGCGCUUGAGACUGGGCGGCUUGAGUUCGGGAGAGGUGAGUGGAAUUCCCAGUGUAGAGGUGAAAUUCGUAGAUAUUGGGAAGAACACCGGUGGCGAAGGCGGCUCACUGGACCGACACUGACGCUGAGGCGCGAAAGCGUGGGUAGCAAACAGG